AGUGAACGCUGGCGGCAGGCCUAACACAUGCAAGUCGAACGGCAGCACAGUAAGAGCUUGCUCUUACGGGUGGCGAGUGGCGGACGGGUGAGGAAUACAUCGGAAUCUACUUUUUCGUGGGGGAUAACGUAGGGAAACUUACGCUAAUACCGCAUACGACCUACGGGUGAAAGCAGGGGAUCUUCGGACCUUGCGCGAUUGAAUGAGCCGAUGUCGGAUUAGCUAGUUGGCGGGGUAAAGGCCAACCAAGGCGACGAUCCGUAGCUGGUCUGAGAGGAUGAUCAGCCACACUGGAACUGAGACACGGUCCAGACUCCUACGGGAGGCAGCAGUGGGGAAUAUUGGACAAUGGGCGCAAGCCUGAUCCAGCCAUACCGCGUGGGUGAAGAAGGCCUUCGGGUUGUAAAGCCCUUUUGUUGGGAAAGAAAAGCAGCAGGUUAAUACCCCGCUGUUCUGACGGUACCCAAUGAAUAAGCACCGGCUAACUUCGUG
rnacentral:rRNA from 1 species